rnacentral:rRNA from 1 species
CCUACGGGAGGCAGCAGUGGGGAAUUUUGGACAAUGGGCGCAAGCCUGAUCCAGCAAUGCCGCGUGCAGGAUGAAGGCCUUCGGGUUGUAAACUGCUUUUGUACGGAACGAAACGGCUCUCUCUAAUAAAGAGGGCUAAUGACGGUACCGUAAGAAUAAGCCCCGGCU